CAAUUCUGUUGUUAAAAAAAAAAAAAAAAUUCACCAAAAAUAUUGUAAUCUGAGAUUUUCAUAUCAUGAAAUAAUUAAGAAGAGAAAUAACAGUUUAAUUCAGUAACUGAUAUGAGAGUCAGGUUGAUGGAGUGGAAGGCAUGCUGAGACCGUUUUAGCCGUGGCCACGUUGGGGAUUUGCUGCUGGAGGAUAUAUAUUUUGAGGAGGAAUUUCCCUUGUACUCCGGCCGUGCAUUAGUCUCCCU
rnacentral:misc_RNA from 1 species